AUUGAACGCUGGCGGCAGGCCUAACACAUGCAAGUCGAGCGAGCGGCGGACGGGUGAGUAAUGCCUGGGAAACUGCCCGAUGGAGGGGGAUAACUACUGGAAACGGUAGCUAAUACCGCGUACCAUCGGAUGUGCCCAGAUGGGAUUAGAUUGUAGGUGAGGGACCGGCUCACCGAGGCGACGAUCCCUAGCUGGUCUGAGAGGAUGACCAGCCACAAGGGAACGUAGACACGGGCCAGAAUGCGACGGUAGGCAGCAGGGGUGAAUAUUGCACAAUGGGUGGUAGCCUGAUGCACCCAUGCCGCGUGGAUGAAGAAGGCGUUCUGUUUGUAAAGUACUUUCAGCGGGGAGGCGUUACCCGCAGAAGAAGCACCGGCUAACUCCGUGACAGCAGCCGCGGUAAUUC
rnacentral:rRNA from 1 species